GACGAACGCUGGCGGCGUGCUUAACACAUGCAAGUCGAACGCUGAAGACCUGGCUUUUGUUGGGUUGGAUGAGUGGCGAACGGGUGAGUAACACGUGAGUAACCUGCCCUCUUCUUUGGGAUAACGCCCGGAAACGGGUGCUAAUACUGGAUAUUCACUGGCCUUCGCAUGGGGGUUGGUGGGAAGGUUUGUUCUGGUGGGGGAUGGGCUCGCGGCCUAUCAGCUUGUUGGUGGGGUGAUGGCCUACCAAGGCUUUGACGGGUAGCCGGCCUGAGAGGGUGACCGGUGAGAUUGGGAGGGAGAAACGGGCCAGAGUCAUGCGGGAGGCAGCAGUGGGGAAUAGUGGACGAUGGGCGAAAGCCUGAGGCAGCGGCGCCGCGUGAGGGAUGGAGGCCUGCGGGUUGUAAACCUCUUUCGCUCAUGGUCAAGCCGCAACUGUGGGUUGUGGUGAGGGUAGUGGGUAAAGAAGCGCCGGCUAACUACGUG
rnacentral:rRNA from 1 species